rnacentral:rRNA from 1 species
GACAGAGGUGCCGAGCGUUAGGCGGAAUCACUGGGCUUAAAGCGUGUGUAGGCGGGCCGUUAAGUAUCUUGUGAAAUCCCCCGGCUCAACCGGGGAAUGGCUGGAUAUACUGGCGGUCUUGAGCAGUCUAGGGGCAGAUGGAACAAGUGGUGGAGCGGUGAGAUGCGUAGAUAUCACUUGGAACGCCAAAGGUGAAAACAGUCUGCUGGGGACUUGCUGACGCUGAGACACGAAAGCCAGGGGAGCGAACGGG